GGGCAACGCGCUCUGUGUGCCCAGCCCGAUGAAGGGGACGUGGGCGGUGCGGUGCUGCCAGUGAGGAGGCGACGCUGCAGCCCUGCCGGCAGAGAUAAACAAGUCACCUCAGGGGCGAAGCGCGGGGCGUGGGAAGAAGCGACGUGGCUCUUCCCGAAGGAAUGGUCAAGUGUAGCGCUUCUCAGUCACUGUGCUGGGUUUCUUUCCUCGUGGGGUAAAAAUGCCUGUGUGAAUGAACAUCUCCACCUCCUCCCCAGCAAGGCAGGGAGAACGGCACAUUUCCAGACAUCUGCUUUCCCGCAGAUGCUACGAGAAAGCCGCUUAAGAAGCGUACAGCUACUGGGCUAAAAUAUGAAGGAGGAGAGAGGGCUACUCCACCAGACAGUCGCUUUCCAGAAGGGAGAAGAAAACCCUCGCUGAGGUUCAGAAGACAGCCCAUGGCUAGAACGUGAACCUCUCCUAGUAUUUUUUGUUUCUUCGACUCUCAGAGCAUAAAAACGUCUGCUAAUCUGCUCCUUCCGAGUUAAGAGAGAAGAUUCCAGGUGUGCAGGCAUGACUGAAGGAGACACUAUCAGCAAGUUUUUUUGAUCGACUACAGAGAGUUUCUCAGUGAUUGAUAUAUGGAAAUUUACAGAACAAAACUGGCACACUACGGCCACCAAGUUUCUGUUGCCUAAGAAGACAAUAUCUCUUUGUCAUCCUAGAGCAAGUCAGGAACUAGAAAAAGGAAAUGGAAUGGUGUCAGUCUGCAUGAGAAGAGUGCUGGACCUGCAGAAUUAUAUAGAGCACUGCAAGCAUCUUGCUAGUGCAAACAAGAGCAACUCACCAUAAAAUUAAGGGAACAAACACUAUCCACUCAACAGCAUAGAACACAAUGUUGUUCUUUAUUAUAUUAUUUAAAGGGGCAGAUUUACUCGGUCAUAAAUUAAUAAUUCAGAAGGUGUAAGAAGGCACAGCCAAUUAGCUGCAGUAAUUUGCAUUUUUAUGCUCCUUCAUUAAUUUUCUAAGGUUCUUCUCUCCUGUUAUAGCAAUGCAAAUGCCAUCUUCCAAAAGGUGAAUAGCCAACCUGUUUUUUGUUUGCAUGGUAAUGAAGCCUUUUCAGUUAUUGAAAGACCAAACAAUUUAAUCAGUUUUAAGACAAAUUUUUGUUGCUAUAAUAUCUCUUCUUUGUGGUUUGUUUUUUUUUUUAAGAAACAUGCUUUUGUAAUGUAAUUUAUUUUAACCUGAAGCAGGGAGUCUAUCAUGUGGCUGAUCUUCUGAGGUUCCUAAAUUCAUGUCUAACUUUAAUCAUGUGAGUAUAUCUCUCAAAGCAAGGUAUUAAAAUCCUUUCUUAAUUUAGAGGCUGGCAAACAAC